rnacentral:rRNA from 47 species
GUAACAAGGUUUCCGUAGGUGAACCUGCGGAAGGAUCAUU